GUGGAGCAUGUGUUUAAUUCGAAGCAACGCGAAGAACUUACCUGGGCUUGACAUGCAUGAGUAAGCCGGUGAAACACCGGCCUCCUUCGGGACUCAUGCACAGGUGCUGCAUGGCUGUCGCCAGCUCGUGUCGUGAGAUGUUGGGUUAAGUCCCGCAACGAGCGCAACCCUCGUCCCUAGUUACCAGCGGGUAAAGCCGGGAACUCUAGGGAGACUGCCGGUGUCAAACCGGAGGAAGGUGGGGACGACGUCAAGUCAUCAUGGCCCUUACGCCCAGGGCUACACACGUGCUACAAUGGCCGGUACAGCGUGUUGCCAACUCGCGAGAGUGCGCUAAUCACGAAAAGCCGGUCUAAGUUCGGAUUGUAGUCUGCAACUCGACUACAUGAAGCCGGAAUCGCUAGUAAUCGCGGAUCAGCUACGCCGCGGUGAAUACGUUCCCGGGCCUUGUACACACCGCCCGUCACGCCAUGGAAGCUGGGGGGACCUGAAGUCGGUGGGCUAACCGCAAGGAGGCAGCCGCCAAAGGUCAAUUCAG
rnacentral:rRNA from 1 species